rnacentral:rRNA from 1 species
AACAGAGGGUGCGAGCGUUAGUCGGAGUCACUGGGCUUAAAGCGUACGUAGGCGGAUAUGCAGGCGUCGUGUGAAAUCCCUUGGCUCAACCAAGGAACUGCACGGCGAACCGCAUGUCUUGAGAUCGGUAGGGGCGGUCGGAACGAUAGGUGGAGUGGUGAAAUGCGUUGAUAUCUAUCGGAACGCCGAAGGUGAAAGCAGGCCGCUGGGCCGAUUCUGACGCUGAGGUACGAAAGCGUGGGGAGCGAACGGG